UCCUAUCUGGUUGAUCCUGCCAGUAGUCAUAUGCUUGUCUCAAAGAUUAAGCCAUGCAUGUCUGAGUACAGACCGAUCUAAGGUGAAACCGCGAAUGGCUCAUUAAAUCAGUCGUAAUUUCUUGGAUAGUGAAAAACUUUCCUCGGAUAACUGUGGAAAAUCCAGAGCUAAUACGUGCAACUGAGCUCCGACCUAGGCGAAAGCUUCGGGAAGAGCGCAUUUAUUAGAUUCAAAACUGACCGGUGUACUCCUCCGGGAUACGCCGAUUGUCAAACGUUUGAUGACUCCGGAUAACUUAGCCGAGCGCUACGGUCUUUGUACCGGCGCCGUAUCUUUCAAGUGUCUGCCUUAUCAGCUUUCGAUUGUAGGUUAAACGCCUACAAUGGCUGUAACGGGUAACGGGGAAUCAGGGUUCGAUUCCGGAGAGGGAGCCUGAGAAACGGCUACCACAUCUAAGGAAGGCAGCAGGCACGCAAAUUACCCACUCCCAGCCCGGGGAGGUAGUGACGAAAAAUAACGAUGCGAGACUCUUCCGAGGCCUCGCAAUCGGAAUGAGUCCAUCUUAAAUCUUUGGACGAGGAUCCAUUGGAGGGCAAGUCUGGUGCCAGCAGCCGCGGUAAUUCCAGCUCCAAUAGCGUAUAUUAAAGUUGCUGCGGUUAAAAAGCUCGUAGUUGGACUUUCUAGAUCCAUUUCGUGGGCGAGUCGCUCGUUGCGCGAGCAUCUUGCGUCAGUCGCUCGACCAUGUUGCUUUAGAUCGUCGUCCGUUUAUCUAUUCGCUCAGUCGGGGGUUCGCUCUCGUGCUUUGUGCUUUAGGUAUCGGCGCGUUCUUUCGCGUUCGCAGAAUCGAGAGGACGGCGAGGCGCUGCCUUCGGGUAUAGCUCGUCCGUGUUUGGUACAAUUAAAAUUUUGUCGGCUCGCUCGGAGUGCUCUUUACCGAGUGUUCCAGGGUGGCCGACACGUUCACUUUGAAAAAAUUAGAGUGCUUAAAGGGGGCUUAUAUACGGCCGGAAUGUCUGUGCAUGGAAUGAAGUAACAGGACCUCGAUUCUGUUCUUUUUGUCGGUUUUAAUGAACCGAGGUAAUGAUUAAAAGGGACAGACGGUGGCAUUAGUAUUGCGGCGCUAGAGGUGAAAUUCUUGGACCGUCGCAAGACUAACUACUGCGAAAGCAUUUGCCGAGAAUGUUUUCAUUAAUCAAGAACGAAAGUUAGAGGAUCGAAGGCGAUCAGAUACCGCCCUAGUUCUAACCCUAAACUAUGCUAACUAGCGAUCCGCCGAAGUCAUUCCCACGACUCGGCGGGAAGCCCCAGGGAAACCAAAGUCUUUGAGUUCCGGGGGAAGUAUGGUUGCAAAGCUGAAACUUAAAGGAAUUGACGGAAGGGCACCACCAGGAGUGGAGCCUGCGGCUUAAUUUGACUCAACACGGGAAACCUCACCAGGCCCGGACAUCAUAAGGAUUGACAGAUUGAGAGCUCUUUCUCGAUUUGAUGGGUGGUGGUGCAUGGCCGUUCUUAGUUGGUGGAGUGAUCUGUCUGGUUGAUUCCGAUAACGAACGAGACUCUACCCUACUAACUAGUCGGCGGAUCGUAACCCUGAGAUGGUUAGUUUGUAUAGGAGAGUUUUGCCCAAGCAAAGUUCCUCCGAUGACGGGUCCUCUAUAUAUAUUUCUUCUCUUUCUCUCAGCCUUUCGGGGUGAAGGGGGGAGGGUGGUUUGUGUGUAGGGGCUUCCCUGUCGGUGGAUACGAUGUCGAAGCUGCUCUUUGAUUACUACUACUGCUGGGGGCGUCCGUCGCAAUGUAUCUUCUUAGAGGGAUCAGCGGCGUCUAGCCGCACGAGAAAGAGCAAUAACAGGUCUGUGAUGCCCUUAGAUGUUCUGGGCCGCACGCGCGCUACAAUGUAGAGACCAGCGUGCUUUCCCUCUCCGAAAGGAGCGGGUAACCCGUUGAAACCCCUACCCGAUUGGGAUUGGGGAUUGCAAAUAUUUCCCAUAAACGAGGAAUUCCCAGUAAGCGCGAAUCAUUAAUUCGCGCUGAUUACGUCCCUGCCCUUUGUACACACCGCCCGUCGCUACUACCGAUUGAAUGAUUCAGUGAGGGCAUCGGACUGGCGCCUUCGGUUUAGUAACAUAGACCUUAGGCUGACGGAAAGAUGUCCGA
rnacentral:rRNA from 1 species